rnacentral:piRNA from 1 species
UUUAACAGUUUUCACAGAGUACAGGCAGUCGUGGCCGAGGCAGAGUGGAAAGCUUGGGAAUGUCCACACACACAAAACGAAGAGACACAGUUGUAGUAGGAAAGUUCCAUGAGCUGAUAAAAGUCGAGCUAAGAGCAAGAGGGAGUUAGAAGAAGUUCUUACUGUUUACAUAGCGAUGAGGUGGUCCUGGCUGCAACCAACAAGGGCUCGCGCCGACGGUGAAGUGACUGACUAAGUUCGGCUAAAACCGAGGUUUUUAUAUACCAUUCCCGAGGAGGGGGGGGGGGGUUGUGAGAUUUUGGACUUUGGACGUCUUCGGCAUUCUGCACCCUUUGACCUUAAUGGCAACGGGCUGCAAAAUUCCUUUUUAAGGUUGUCGGAUUCUUCUCUCGAUUUUAGACGUUUUUGAACUUCUCAAUCUUGCUUUAACUCAGCUCUUAAUCUAUUUCAUAGUUUUAUUUAUUUAUGCUCAGUUUGUACAAAGUACAUUACAUAUGGUGAUGCAAUGAAACAUGUCAAUCAUGCGUAUAAUUAUUUAUAGAUGUGUCUCUAUAUACAACAUGACAAUCUUGUUAGUAUUAUACAAUAUAGGGUUGUUGGUUUAAAUUACCAUAGAUGAGCCCAGGGAGUGAAAGGGGUUUAUCCUGGUUUAAACAGGUAAAAGCCUCUCUAACACAGGUAAGUAAUUAAAAUUUAUUUUAAUUAAUUUAAACUGUGAGGGUUAAAAAGGGCUAUAACAAUAUGUUUUGUUUGGAUAUAUCUGAAAAUUAUAAAAAAUAAAACUUAUGUAUAAUUUUAAAGUUAUGAUAUUCAUUAUAAAAGAGAAAUUUAGAUAAAACCUUUGUUUGAUAAAAAAAUAAUGAUGAUAAAAAUAAAAUCAUGUUCUAAGAGAUUGUUGGUGGGCGUUGGAAAGGGUUAGGGGUUAAAGAAUAGGCAAUUGUAGGUAUUACACAUGCAAUCAAAUACUUAGAUCCAGGUGCAAAGCCAGGAUAUAGACUUGAGCGUCUUCCUAGGCAAUUUUUCACCUGUGAUUCUGUAUAAGGUUACAGUGCUUUGUCACAAUUGUAAAGUUAUUGGGUUGAAAAGUUGUUGAAGAAAAAGUUGUUCAUUAAUAUGAUUGUGAAAGGGGUGAAAUAGAGAACCAUUCUAUAAGUAGAAUUGUUGUAUCAACAGUAGGUGAUCUGACUUGACUAGAAAUCAAAGGUUGAUUGUGGUCCGAUAGAGCUAAAAAAAUUGUGAGUUGUGAACGCUUUGUGCAUGCGUUGAUGAUUUUGCUCUGUGGAUGAUUGAAAUAAACUUUUGAAACGUGUUCAGGCUAGAAGUUGGGAUUUGUAAAUCUGGGGAACUGUGUUCAAAUAGUUUGUUGGAAUUAUGAAAUAAAAAAAAAUUGUCAAGCAGUACUGUCGUUUUUCUAGUUGAUGUGAAGCAUUAACUGAGAAAGAUAGUAGUGUAAAGUACACUGAAGUGGUUAGAGAAACGAUUGUUGUAUGCCCGAUAGUUAAUGCUAUUAUUUGUCCUAUUAUAAAGGUAUAAAAACAAAUAUGAAAUGAAUAAAAAUAUAGCAAUGUGAUUGUGGUUGAAUAAAGUUUAAGUGAACAAAAUCAAACAUACAAUAUACACUGCGUGACAUUGAAAAUGGAACACCAAUAAAUAGUGGCCAGAAAAGUAUGCAAAUUUCAGGGUAGACGCGCCUAACCGAGUUAUGCAAAUGAUGUAAAAUGCGCAGCUCUCGUGCGCACAUGGAGUAAGAUAUAAGGGAAGGAACUUGCAGAAAGGACAGUAUUUGUGUCGUUAUUUCUUCAAGGAAAAUCAUUGUAGAAAUUUUGUUCUUGUGUCAAAAGACACGUGUAAUAACAGAGAAUGCCAGGUCAUCGUAAAUGGAGGCAGUUCAAGCAGACAGACGCUUUUACGAGGGGCAUGGUGAUCGGACUGAAAAGGGCAGGUUGGUCCAUACGUCAAAUCGCAGCUGAUACACACCUUGGUGCGUCCACGGUGCACCGACUGUGGAGAAGAUGGUUGGAACAAGGAAAUGUGGCAAUUUAUAGGAAUGCCGGUGCAACCAGAGUGACGUCAGCACGUGUGGAUCGGCGUAUCCUUCGACAAGCAGUGGCGGCCCCACAAGCCACUUGUACCGCCAUCCUGCAACAUGUGCAAGACACCCUAGAUCAUUCCAUCUCGACCAGAACCAUUUCCCGUCGAUUGGUUGCUAAUGGCUUGCACUCAUGCCGUCCGCUAAGAAGACUGCCAUUUACCCCACCGAAUAGGCGCCAACGUUUGGAAUGGUGCCGGGCUAGAUCGACGUGGAUGACGGAAUGGCACAGGGUCGUGUUCUCAGAUGAGUCGCGUUUCUGCUUGUUCUGUGAUAGUCGCCGUGUACGCGUGUGGCGUCGACGUGGAGAAAGGUCCAAUCCAGCAGCAAUUGUGGAACGCCCCACCGUGCGACAACGUGGAAUCAUGGUUUGGGGCGCAAUCGCGUAUGAUUCCAGGUCACCUUUACUUCGUAUUCAGGGCACUAUGACGGCCCAACGAUACGUUGAUGAUGUGCUGCGACCGGUGACACUCCCCUACCUUCAGGGGGUACUCAAUGCCCUUUAUCAGCAGGAUAACGCCCGACCGCACACUGCUCGCAUUAGCCAACAAGCUCUGCAAGAUGUACAGAUGCUUCCCUGGCCACCGUACUCUCCCGAUCUCUCACCAAUCGAGCACGUCUGGGACAUCAUUGGACGCCGUUUGCAUGCCUUGCCACAGCCGCAUUCAGAAGACGAACUGUGGCAAAUGGUUGAGAGGGAAUGGAGAGCCAUCCCUCAGGACGCCAUCCGUACUCUGAUUGACUCUCUACCUAGACGUGUUGCUGCGUGCAUCGCCGUCCGCGGUGGUCCUACUUGCUACUAAGCCGACGCCGUUCUCGCUCUGUAUUAUGACUAUCAUUUUGAAAUAAUGAUCACUUAUUGUUCGUCCCUGUCUCUCUCUGUCUGCCGAGUUUCAUCACUUUCUGGCCACUAUUUCUUGGUGUUCCAUAUUCAAUGUCACGCAGUGUAUAAAAGUAAUAAUAAUGAAGAAUUAAAGUGAUUUUUGACAACAAAUAAAUCUUUUGUAAUACUAAAAUAAUAUUAUGAAAGAUAAAAGUAAAAGUGAUUUAUUUUUUAAAUGAUGUUGGAUUAAAACUUGUGAUUAUAUAAUUGAAAGGUUAAAAAAUAUAAUUAAAAAUAUUUUAUACAAAAAAUAGAAUAUAGUUAAAGAUUAUUACAAUGAGUAGAUGAAGGUUUAGUAUUUCUUCUAAAAGAAGUUACAAAUGUGGUGUGUAGGUUUUAUAAAUCGAAAAUUGAGAAGCGCAAUUUAUUGCUUGGAUUGGUUACUAAAAUGUUGUGUAUUGUGAUCUCAAUUUAACAUGUAAAAUGUUUGAUAUGUUGAAAAAAUUAGAGAUUUACACAGGAUUAAAAUAUCAAAAUGUUCAAUUUAAGGUAGGUCUUGUUCAAAUUCAAAUAUCUAAAUGUUUUAAAAAGUUAGGUUAAGAUAUCGACUGUUAAUGUAGUAAAAGGGGUUGUUGUUUAUGUUGUUUUGAUCAUUUGAUCACGCAGAAUGCAACUGAACUAAGUAUUUAUUUAUUUACAUAUAUUUUUAUAACAUGGUUAUAUAUCUAAGAAUGUUUACAAGUCGAGUCUGCAGUGUUGCCGGAUCAACAUGUCAGUUCAAUCAUAACAUGUUUCCUUUAAACAAAAAUAAAAAAAGGAUUGCAGUUCUCCUAGUCUCUAUAACGCAAAGGUUUUCUCACUGUUCUACCACUGCGGGUUCGCACACUAGGAGAAGUAGAUGAUUCUUCACCUUUCUUGGCAACGUCCUCCCUUGGAUCAUAUGCUCUUCUGUUUUCGGAAGUGGGUCUUCCAUGAUCUUGUAUGUUGUCAUCCAUGGCUGUCCCUGCUUGAGAUCCAGGAAUGCUUGGACUUUGAAUUGUUGGGGCAGAAUCUUCUACACUGAACUUUCUCGGUCUAAGGUGAGACCUGUUCCUGCGGUAUUCAGAUCCACUUGGUGUUUUCACCAUAUAUGAGCGUGGAGUUUCAUGCUUUGCGGUCACUGUUGCCGGAAGCCAUUUUCUAUGCCUUUCCUGCAACAUGAUGUCUCCUACUUCCAAAGGUCUCAAAAUUCUCUUUGGACUUCCUGCAUACUUUUGUUGAUGGUCUCUCAAUUUUUUGUAAUUCUUCGUUGUGUCAAACAGUGGUUUCAACUGUUGUCGGGUGUAUGUCGAAAGAGUUCUCACAGAUCUUCCCAUAAGCAUUUGGGUCGGAGAUGGCAAGUCAUACUUAGGUGUGUUGUUGAACUCCAUCAAAGCCAGAUUGGGAUCUCUUCCUGACUUCACAGCUUUAAUUAUCAGUCCUUUGAUGGUUUGAAUUGUCCUCUCAACUUGUCCAUUAGAUCUUGGAUAUUUGGGACUGGAGGUUUGGUGUUUGAAUUCAUAUAUCUGAGCAAAAUUUUUGAAUCCAGUAGAGUUAAAAGGGGGUCCAUUAUCCGAAACUAGAGUUCUUGGAAUUCCAUGAGUCCUGAAAAUGGUUUUCAACUGCAUGAUGGUUUCGGUUUCUCUUUUGCUUGAUAAUUUCCGGAUUUCAACAAACUUUAAGUGGUAAUCGACAACCAAGAUGGAACUGGUUCCACUCACCUCCAUGAAAUCUACAGCAAUUUUUUCCCAUGGAAAUUCAGGGAUUUCAUGAGCUAUUCUUGACUCCUCAGGAUUCUUUCUUGAAUAUUCCUGACAUGUUCUGCACUUUUCCACUUCAUUUUCUACUUGUGUUAUCAUGCCGGGCCAGUAAAAUGCUGAUCUUGCUUUUUCUUUGGAAGCUGCUGUGCCCUGGUGUGAUGAAUGAACAACCUGCAGGAUUUCUUUUCGAAGAGUCGAUGGCACCAUGAUGCAAUUUCCUUUGUAAACAAUUCCGUCACUCACAUGAAUUUCAUCUUGAAAUUGCCAGUAGGGUUUUGCUUCAUCACAGACCUUAGUUUUAUAUUUCGGCCAUCCAUUCUUCGCAUACUCCAUUAGUUGUAUCAAGGUGUGGUCCCCAUGAGUUUCCUUUUGUAGUCUCUUUAUUUUUUCAUCUGUGGUAACCAGCAACAUGUGCACUGAUUCAGUUUGACCUUCUAAAUAGCUUGUGUCCACCUCAUCUUUUAAUGGAUCUCUAGACAGAUGGUCAGCUACAAACAUGUUUUUCCCUGGUGUAAACUUCAAAGAUAUUUGAAAUCUCAUCAGACGUAAGACCAUUCUUUGCAGUCUUGGGGGAAAGCUUUUCUAAAGGUUUCUUAACAAUACUCAGGAGAGGUUUGUGGUCAGUUUCCACAAUAACAUCAUUUCCCCAAAUAUAGUACUGGAAGCGUUCACAUCCAAAGACUAUAGCCAAAAGUUCUUUCUCUAUCUGUGCGUAUUUUCUUUGAGUUGCAUUCAGGCUGAAGGACGCAUACUCAAUUGCUUGUCCCCCUUGCAUAAGCACUGUACCAAUACCAUAUUGGCUUGCAUCAGAUGAAAUGGUGAUUGGCUUGGUUGGGCCAAAAAAUGUCAAUAUUGGAGCAUUCGAAACCAUAUCCUUGAGUUUUUCAAAACAAUCAUUUUCUUCGCCUCCAAAAUUCCAUUCACUCUUGUUGCUUAUCAAUUUCCCUAGAGGUGCAGUCUUGUCAGAAAGAUUAGGAAUGAGUUUGCCAAGGUACGUUACCAUACCUAAGAAUCUUUGGACUUCAGUCUUGUUCUCAGGUCUUUUCAACUUUUGUAUUGCCUCUGCUCUUGAAGCUUGAAUGGCUAUUCCAUCUCGACUGAUUAUAUGGCCUAAGAAAUUUACUUUGUCGACAGCUAUCUGCUGCUUCUUGGCAUUGAGCUUGACAUUAUUUUCUUCCAACCUUCGAAGAACUGUUUCGAGGUUUCGGUUGUGCUCUUCCAUUGUGCUUCCAUAGAUCAAGAUGUCAUCCAUAUAGCAAGCAGUUCCCUGGAGACCUGAAAGAAUAUUGUUUAUGCAUCGCUGGAAUACCUCCGAUGCACUGUUCAAUCCAUAGGGAAGUCGCUUGAACCGGAAUCUUCCAAAGGGAGUCGCAAUGGUGCACAGGUUGGUGCUUUCUUUGUCUAAUGGGAUUUGCCAGAAAGCUGAUGAUGCAUCAAAUACAGAGAAAAUUGUAGCACCUUUCAGUUCAGAAAAUAUUGUUUCAGCUGUUGGCAGAAUAUAGCGCUCUCUCUGAAUAUACUUGUUCAGUUCCCUGGGGUCCAUGCAAAUUCUGACAUCCCCAGAAGGUUUUUGUACCACUACAAUAGGGUGUGUCCAUUCGCUUGGUUCUUCAACUUUUUCAAUAAUGUCAAGUUUUUCCAUCCGUUCCAAUUCUGCUUUAACUUUUUCUCUAAUAGAAAAAGGAAUUUUUCUGCUUGGAGCAAUAACUGGAGUUGUAUUUUCAUUUAGUCUAAUCUUGUGUUCAAUUGGCAGUCUUCCUAUGCCUUCAAAUAUAUUUUUGUGCCUGUUCAAAAUCUCUUUUGCUGAAUUGUUUUGCUGUAUUUGGACAGCAUCACAUUUCGUAAUUAGUGAAAGCUUUUCAAUAGCUUCUAUUCCAAAAAUUGGUUGAUAGUAUCCAUCAGCAAUGAAAAAUUCUAGACUUUCCGUCUUAUUUUUAGUUUUGCAAUUUAGUGUGGCAAUUCCUUUUAUCUUGAUUUCAUGUCCUGUAUAUGAUGUUAGCUUUCGGUUAGUCUGAAAUAUUUCCAAACCUUUCAUUUGUCUGGUGAAUGUGUAUGGCAAAACAUUUACUUCUGCUCCAGAGUCCAACUUGAAACAUAUUUCCUUUCCAUUCACUAUGAUGGAUUUUUUCCAUUCCAAAGUAUGGACUACUUUUGCUUCAUGUAUUGACCAUACAGUUUCUUCUGUUUCAUCAUUCAGACUUCUGAUAGCUGAACUUUUACAGAAAGCUGCAAAAUGAUCCAUCUUUUUGCAUUUGGAGCAUAUUUUACCCCAUGCAGGACAAUUUUUCGCUCUGUGAGACUUCCCACACCUUUGGCAUUUGAAUUCUUUUUCAGAUUCUUGAUUUUGUUUUGGACUGUGUUUUUUUUUCAUAUUUUCUUAUUUGACAGAUGUUCUGGUUGUUCUGCAUGAUCUUGAUCUGUUGUUUGCUUAUUUCAUCUGUUUUGCACAUUUCAAUGGCUUUUAGAAGAGUUAAAUUGGGCUCUCUUAAGAGGCGUUCCUGCAAAGCCUUGUCUUGUAUUCCAGACACAAUGCGAUCCCUUAUUAAACUAUCCUUUUGUGAUUCAAAUUCACAUGAUGUGGAUAAUCCUUUUAGUUCUGUUAUAAAACUAUCGAUGGAUUCACCAUCCUUCUGGGUCGCUUAAAAAAUUGGAAUCUUUCAAAAAUGACGUUCUUUUUAGGUUUAUUACAAGAUCGAAAUUUUCUGCUUCAUCUUCUUUUAAAUGAAAUGUGUUGAAAACUUCCAAGGCUUCUUCGCCAAUAAAAUUAAAAAAAUGGCAACUUUCAGUUUAUCAGGCUUUGUGGCUUUUUCUGUUGCUUUAAGAUAAAGCAUUAAUCGCUGUUUGAACCUUCGCCAAUUUUCCGCUACAUUUCCAUGCAAGGCGAGUUCGCUAGGCCUAACAAAGUCCAUGUUUUCUUUUUUUCACUAAUAUUUUUCAAUUAUAUAUUUAUUUGAAAAAGUACUCACUUUUCCGCUGCCACCAUGUUGUUUAUGUUGUUUUGAUCAUUUGAUCACGCAGAAUGCAACUGAACUAAGUAUUUAUUUAUUUACAUAUAUUUUUAUAACAUGGUUAUAUAUCUAAGAAUGUUUACAAGUCGAGUCUGCAGUGUUGCCGGAUCAACAUGUCAGUUCAAUCAUAACAGGUGUGAUAUAAAAGGAAUGUAGAACACAGCCCUCAUUUACUGGAGGACGAGAUAGGUGAAGGGUGGCGGUGGAUUUAUUGACGCGGGAAUAGCCUCGAGAUCUUUAGUCUAUCGUCAUUGGGGCCUCUGGUAUGUUAACUAGCGGUGUCCAUUUUUACGAUGGGGUGCGAUGUGUAUUGUUUUUGAAGGGGGAGAUAUGGGGUUGUCUACAGCGCACGAGAGUUAAAUUCUUUCUCCUCUAGUUUGGAUCUGGUGGGUUCAAAGAAAUCUUUAUAUUGUGUGAAAGAGAAUAAGUAAGAAAGUAAUACAGAUCCAAUUGGGUUGGUAGAGUAUGUAGAUAGAAUAGGUUUGUGAAUUUAACGGGAAAUUUUCUGGUCGCUAUUUGAGGUUUGUUUUAAAACGAUCGAUAUUAAAUAAAUAUUGAUUUAAAUGUAGGAAUGGCUGGGAAGUUUGAGGCGGUAUAAUUCCGAAUAGUUGCGUCUCGAAGAUAUCUGGAGUCAAAUGUUUAAAUUUACUGAGAUAUACAUCUUGAGACAUUCGCUGUGGGUUUUGAAUAAAUCGGUUUUGUGGAGGUGUAAUGUACAGAACAUUCUCUGUGUAAAUUUUAAAUUAUUGACAUGUAUGGUGUCACUGUCUCUAUUGAGAGGUUAAUUGGGGCGAUCUAUUCGAACGACAUUGGGUGAGAUUAUUUCAAUUAUUGUAUAUGGUCCAGUAAAAUAUGGUGCUAAUUUACCUGUGUCGGGAUGUCUAUAAUUUUUGACCAAAACAAGAUCAUUCACUUCGAAAGCGGUGUUCUGUGCUGCUUAUCAAAUGUUUCUUUAUCUUUUUUAUGCUUAUUUUGGGUACGAGAACGUGCUAUCUCUCUAGCUCUAGUUAUUUCGGGGUAUGGGUUAAGAUGAGUUUUUAGAUCUGGGGGGACAACAUUGAACAUUAAGUAGGUGGAUGGAAAACUUGUGACAGAAUGGGGUGUGCUAUUAUAAGUCUGAGUGACGCGUUUAACUAGUUGAGUCCAGGAAGCUUUCGGAUUUUCUAGAUAAGCUAGUCUGAGUUUGCCUGUAAUGGUGGCAUUUAAGCGUUCUAUUAAACCGUUUGCUUGUGGGUUAUUGCUUGUGGUGAGUAGAGGUUGUAUUUCAUGUGUUAUUAGAAAUUUAUGGAAUUUGUCUGAGGUAAAAGCGGGCGCUCUGUCAGAUAACA